GGAAAUGACGCCAGGGGAUGCAAACCCUUCUGCCCCUUUUUGCUACCCCUGAAGCUUACUGUUAGUGGUCGAGUUUUUCUGGAAGUGGGCUUCCGCGAUCGCGGGGACCAACGCCCUGAGCUCUUGUGCCCAAAGGGGAUCGCCAGGUUUUUUGAUGCGGAUCGAAAGGGACUGGCCCCGGAGCCUACAACCUGACGCAGGUGGGACUUGGGGAAAUGUCGAGAAACCUAGGUCUGGGACUUGAGUUGGCUUCCAGGGCACACAUUCUUGUUCAGAAGAAACACAUUGCAAAAAUCGGGAGGUGACGGGCAGAUGAAGUGUCGGCGCUUCGCCUCGGGACUCCAGUGCAACCUAUGGGGCUUUUGGAAAUGAGGAAGUCGAUGACUCUGCAGGGACUCCUCUGACCCAGGAGCAGAUGGCGCUCGUCUGGGCACUCCCCAGGAGAAAAGGUGCAUCGGGAAGCAGCCUGGCUUGUGGAUGGUGGACAAGGUGGAGGAGAGAGAAUUCCUUGGCAGUAGCAUUAUGAACAAAUGCAGGGCUGAGAAACAGCAUGGUGGCCUUGACUAAGUUUAUGGCGACAGCAGAUGGAGUCUUGCUCUGUCGCCCAGGCUAGAGUGCAGUGGCGCGAUCUCAGCUCACUGAAACCUCUGCCUCCCGGGUUCAAGUGAUUCUCCUGCCUCCGCCACGCGAUGCCUCUUCAUGGGUGGUGGAUGAAGAAACUGAACAGGGCCAUGAUCCUUAUCUGUAAUUUCCCGGCUACCACACUGCUUUGGUGGUCUUCCCUCGUCUCUUCCUGGGUAGAAACAACUACCUGGAGAUCCCAAUGUUCUUGUCAGUGCACUUUUCAUGGACUGCAGUGGUAAGACGAUGUGUUGGAUGCCCAAACACAAACCAAGAGCCCUCUACCUUCGCAAUUCCCGGUGCUGUGGAGCUGUCAGAGUUUUAACAUCUCAACCAAGCCACAUGGAUACUAUUUCCUCAGAAAAGACAAAAUUGAUCCAAGCAGAAGAGUGAACUCACCGAAGAGGACUCUCUACCCAUAACUGGGGAUGCCUCAGCCACUCACACUUACUCCAAGAUUAGUGUCACUGAUUAUGGAAAGAAUUGACUUCUUCCCCUGGUCUUGCUCAUUUUUCUAGAGCCCAGGACAAUAAAUGUGUUUUACGGCAGAGAAAAGUGAAGACGGGUGGAAUUGUGUGUGUUGAGAGAGAAGCAGAUAGGCAAUCUUACGCUUUGGCUCCUAGAUUAUGCAGGUGCCUCUUUUCUAUCAUCUCCAUAAAUCCUACCCUUACUGCGCUUCCUAUUCUGCAGGGGUAUUUUGUUGUCCGUAACAGAACUCCUCCUCUGUCUGUAAAGUUUAGGUUUUGAUAAAAAAUCCUCUUCCCUCCAGAAGCGUCUACUAAAAAUACAAAAAAAUUAGCUGGGUGUGGUGGCAUCCACCUGUAGUCCCAGUUACUCAGGAGACUGAGGCAGGAGAAUCGCUUGAAACUGGGAGGCGGAGGUCGCAGUGAGCCAAGAUCAUGCCACCGCACUCCAGCCUGGGUGAGAGUGAUACUCCGUCUCAAAAAACAAAUGAACAAUAAAAAACAAACAAAAAA
ensembl:lncRNA LINC01012 long intergenic non-protein coding RNA 1012